rnacentral:lncRNA from 1 species
AGACCAAGAUUGUUCCUCUCUCUGGCUUCUCAUCUCUUUUUCUUCAUAUCAAAGACGAACAAGAUUUUGCAUGCAGAAACAAGAAUAGAAACCAAAACAAAUUAAUUUCAUCUCUUUAUUUGUACUCUGCCGGUUCCCAAUAUUCCAUCACAGUUUCCGGUCACCGGAAAAAUCUGAAAAUAAAUAACUUCUCGAGAAAAUUUGAUUGAAUUGGACUGUUGUGGAAAUCGAUAGCAUUUGAUUUACAAUACAAACU